UACGGAGGGGGCUAGCGUUGUUCGGAAUUACUGGGCGUAAAGCGCGCGUAGGCGGAUCUGCAAGUCGGGGGUGAAAUCCCGAGGCUCAACCUCGGAACUGCCUUCGAUACUGCGGGUCUCGAGUCCGGGAGAGGUGAGUGGAAUUCCGUAGUGUAGAGGUGAAAUUCGUAGAUAUUAGGAAGAACACCAGUGGCGAAGGCGGCUCACUGGCCCGGUACUGACGCUGACGGCGCGAAAGCGUGGGGAGCAAACAGGGAUUAAGAAACCC
rnacentral:rRNA from 1 species